rnacentral:rRNA from 1 species
AGAGUUUGAUCCUGGCUCAGAAUCAACGCUGGCGGCGUGCCUAACACAUGCAAGUCGCACGAGAAAGUGGAGCAAUCCAUGAGUAAAGUGGCGCACGGGUGAGUAACACGUGACUAACCUACCCUCGAGUGGGGAAUAACUUCGGGAAACCGAGGCUAAUACCGCAUAACACUUACGAGUCAAAGCAGUAAUGCGCUUGAGGAGGGGGUCGCGGCAGAUUAGCUAGUUGGUGAGGUAAUGGCUCACCAAGGCGAUGAUCUGUAUCCGGCCUGAGAGGGCGCACGGACACACUGGAACUGAAACACGGUCCAGACUCCUACGGGAGGCAGCAGUGGGGAAUUUUGCGCAAUGGGGGAAACCCUGACGCAGCAACGCCGCGUGGAGGAUGAAAUCCCUUGGGAUGUAAACUCCUUUCGAUCGGGACGAUUAUGACGGUACCGGAAGAAGAAGCCCCGGCUAACUUCGUGCCAGCAGCCGCGGUAAUACGAGGGGGGCGAGCGUUGUUCGGAAUUAUUGGGCGUAAAGGGUGCGUAGGCGGUUUGAUAAGUCUGAUGUGAAAUCUAUGGGCUCAACCCAUAGUCUGCAUUAGAAACUGUCGGGCUUGAGUAUGGGAGAGGUGAGUGGAAUUUCCGGUGUAGCGGUGAAAUGCGUAGAUAUCGGAAGGAACACCUGUGGCGAAAGCGGCUCACUGGACCAUUACUGACGCUGAUGCACGAAAGCUAGGGGAGCAAACAGGAUUAGAUACCCCGGUAGUCC